rnacentral:rRNA from 1 species
UACGUAGGGGGCAAGCGUUAUCCGGAUUUACUGGGUGUAAAGGGAACGUAGACGGACUGGCAAGUCUGAUGUGAAAGGCGGGGGCUCAACCCCUGGACUGCAUUGGAAACUGUUAGUCUUGAGUGCCGGAGAGGUAAGCGGAAUUCCUAGUGUAGCGGUGAAAUGCGUAGAUAUUAGGAGGAACACCAGUGGCGAAGGCGGCUUACUGGACGGUAACUGACGUUGAGGCUCGAAAGCGUGGGGAGCAAACAGG